rnacentral:rRNA from 1 species
UACGUAGGGGGCAAGCGUUGUCCGGAUUUAUUGGGCGUAAAGAGCGUGUAGGCGGCCAUGCAGGUCAGCUGUGAAAACUCGAGGCUCAACCUCGAGACGUCGGUUGAAACCGUAUGGCUAGAGUCCGGAAGAGGAGAGUGGAAUUCCCGGUGUAGCGGUGAAAUGCGCAGAUAUCGGGAAGAACACCCGUGGCGAAGGCGGCUACUCGUGGGACGGUACUGGACGCUGAGACGCGAAAGCGUGGGGAGCGAACAGG